AAGGGAUGGGAAACUUUAUAUAUUGGGCUACACAGCAUCACGGCGUUACGUCAAAAAUCAAAAUGUAUGGUAGGACGCGCCACCCUUGGUUUCUCUAUAAAUUCAUUCACGCAGCGAGCGAUCGAGAGAGAAAAGAUCGAUAUAGGCAAAAGCAAAUUAAAUGGGUGGAGCGAGGAGGAUUAAGCUGGGUUCCCAAGGUCUGGAGGUGUCGGCUCAGGGACUGGGCUGCUUGGGCAUGUCGGACUUCUACGGUCCUCCAAAGCCGGAACAAGACAUGAUCAAACUCAUCCAUCACGCUGUCAACUCCGGCGUCACCUUCCUCGACACUUCCGACUUCUACGGCCCCCACACCAACGAAAUCCUUCUCGGCAAGGCGCUGGAGGGUGGAAUGAGAGAGAAAGUGCAACUGGCUACCAAAUUUGGGGUCAGAUAUGCCGACAACGGCAAAAUAGAGGUGCGUGGCGAUCCAGCCUAUGUACGGGCCACCUGUGAGGCCAGCUUGAAGCGGCUCGACGUGAAUUGCAUUGAUCUCUAUUACCAGCACAGGAUUGACACUCGUGUUCCCAUCGAAGUCACGAUGGGGGAACUCAAGAAACUGAUUGAAGAGGGAAAAAUAAAGUAUAUUGGUCUAUCUGAGGCCUCUGCUUCAACAAUCAGAAGAGCUCAUGCUGUCCAUCCAAUUACAGCUGUACAAUUAGAAUGGUCUUUAUGGACAAGAGAUGUGGAGGAAGAAAUAGUUCCUACUUGCAGAGAGCUUGGCAUUGGGAUUGUUGCAUAUAGUCCAUUAGGAAGAGGAUUCUUCUCAUCAGGUCCCAAGAUUGUUGAGAACAUCUCAAAUAACGACUUCAGAAAGGGUCUCCCAAGGUUCCAGGCGGAGAAUCUGAAACAGAAUAACAUCAUGUUUGAGCGGGUUAAUGAGAUGGCAUCAAGGAAGGGGUGCGCCCCUGGGCAGCUGGCAUUGGCGUGGGUUCUUCACCAAGGGAACGAUGUGUGUCCAAUUCCUGGCACCACAAAGGUUGAAAACUUCAAUCAAAAUAUUGGAGCUUUGUCAUUGAAACUAACGCCUGAAGAAAUGGCUGAGCUGGAAUCAAUCGUAUCUGCUGACGCAGUUCAGGAUGGAUCAUAAAAAUUUUUGCGUACUUUACAGUUGUCCUGGAAAUUUUACAAGGUAUAUGAAGACAAGAUCUACAUACCAGGAUCAAAUCUUGUAGAUUAGUACUAAGCAGAGUUCUUGUUCUGCUAAUGGCAACACGAGAAGCUCUGAAACACUGGGAACAGGCAGACCUAGAACUGAACUUUUUCUCUUGGAAGCCUACCUGCAAAAUUGACUGGAAGACGGCGCCAAUGCUAAGGAGGGUUCAGGCACUGUGCUAAUUUGGCUUUGUCCUGACUGAAGCUGAAUGAACAAUGCAGUUAAAAGUUGCUAGGUACUGCUUGAGAGAGAGAAAGGAGACUCGUCACAACAUGCAAAGGAUGAUUCACUCAAAUAGGUUACAUUAUCCUAAUGUAAUUACCUUUUGCAAUCCAGAACACUGCAAAUGUGUAGAACAGUAUGACGACAUUGCCCUAAAUUGUUCAGAAAAUAUCCUUUUUGUAUUUUUUUGAAUAUCAUAAUUGUGUAAACCAGUGCCUUUUGCACUUAUCCUUUUAAAAUAUUAAAGAAGAAUGCCUGGAUGGAUCCAUUCAUGGAUCCUGAAAUGCAUUAUUUUGCAGUAAAUUUCAUUGCAUGCUGGAAAUUGUUUUCCAUUUAUUUUAAUUCUUGGAUUUGUUUAGUCCAAAGUGUACAUGC